rnacentral:rRNA from 1 species
CAGCCGCCGCGGUAAUACGAAGGGUGCAAGCGUUAAUCGGAAUUACUGGGCGUAAAGCGUGCGUAGGCGGUUUGUUAAGUCUGCUGUGAAAUCCCCGGGCUCAACCUGGGAAUGGCAGUGGAUACUGGCAAGCUAGAGUGUGUCAGAGGAUGGCGGAAUUCCCGGUGUAGCGGUGAAAUGCGUAGAGAUCGGGAGGAACAUCAGUGGCGAAGGCAGCUACCUGGACCAACACUGACACUGAGGCACGAAAGCGUGGGGAGCAAACAGGAUUAGAUACCCCCGUAGUCCCUGUCUCUUAUAC